rnacentral:rRNA from 1 species
AGAAUCAACGCUGGCGGCGUGCCUAACACAUGCAAGUCGAACGCGAAAAUCCCGCAAGGGAUUAGUAGAGUGGCAAACGGGUGAGUAACGCGUGGGUGACCUGCCUUCGAGUGGGGGAUAACGUUCCGAAAGGGACGCUAAUACCGCAUAACAUGCUGUCCUUUAAGAGAUGGACAUCAAAGCCCGGACCGCAAGGCCGGGCGCUUGAAGAGGGGCCCGCGUCUGAUUAGCUAGUUGGUGGGGUAAUGGCUCACCAAGGCAACGAUCAGUAU